rnacentral:rRNA from 1 species
AACGAACGCUGGCGGCAUGCCUAACACAUGCAAGUCGAACGAGACCUUCGGGUCUAGUGGCGCACGGGUGCGUAACGCGUGGGAACCUGCCCUUAGGUUCGGAAUAACUCCCCGAAAGGGGUGCUAAUACCGGAUAAUGUCUUCGGACCAAAGAUUUAUCGCCUUUGGAUGGGCCCGCGUUGGAUUAGCUAGUUGGUAGGGUAAAAGCCUACCAAGGCGACGAUCCAUAGCUGGUCUGAGAGGAUGAUCAGCCACACUGGGACUGAGACACGGCCCAGACUCCUACGGGAAGCAGCAGUGGGGAAUAUUGGACAAUGGGCGAAAGCCUGAUCCAGCAAUGCCGCGUGAGUGAUGAAGGCCUUAAGGUUGUAAAGCUCUUUUACCCGGGAUGAUAAUGACAGUACCGGGAGAAUAAGCUCCGGCUAACUCCGUG